GACAGAGGGUGCAAACGUUGUUCGGAAUUACUGGGCGUAAAGCGCGUGUAGGCGGCUAAGUAAGUCGGGCGUGAAAUCCCACGGCUCAACCGUGGAAGUGCACUCGAAACUGCAUAGCUAGAGUCCUGGAGAGGAAGGUGGAAUGCUUGGUGUAGAGGUGAAAUUCGUAGAUAUCAAGCGGAACACCGGUGGCGAAGGCGGCCUCUGGACAGUGACUGGACGCUGAGACGCGAAAGCGUGGGGAGCGAACAGG
rnacentral:rRNA from 1 species